UACGGGGGGGGGCAAGCGUUGUUCGGAAUUACUGGGCGUAAAGGGCUCGUAGGCGGCCAACUAAGUCAGACGUGAAAUCCCCAGGCUUAACCUGGGAACUGCGUGUGAUACUGGAUGGCUUGAAUCCGGGAGAGGGAUGCGGAAUUCCAGGUGUAGCGGUGAAAUGCGUAGAUAUCUGGAGGAACACCGGUGGCGAAGGCGGCA
rnacentral:rRNA from 1 species